rnacentral:rRNA from 1 species
UACGUAGGGGGCAAGCGUUGUCCGGAUUCAUUGGGCGUAAAGAGCGUGUAGGCGGCCAGGUAGGUCGGUUGUGAAAACUCGAGGCUCAACCUCGAGAUGUCGGCUGAAACCAUCUGGCUAGAGUCCGGAAGAGGAGAAUGGAAUUCCCGGUGUAGCGGUGAAAUGCGCAGAUAUCGGGAAGAACACCCGUGGCGAAGGCGGUUCUCUGGGACGGUACUGACGCUGAGACGCGAAAGCGUGGGGAGCGAACAGG